AUUGAACGCUGGCGGCAGGCCUAACACAUGCAAGUCGAGCGAGCGGCGGACGGGUGAGUAAUGUAUGGGGACUGCCCGAUAGAGGGGGAUAACUACUGGAUACGGUAGCUAAUACCGCAUACUAUCGGAUAACCCAUAUGGGAUUAGCUAGUUGGUGGGGUAAUGGCUAACCAAGGCGACGAUCCCUAGCUGGUCUGAGAGGAUGAUCAGCCACACUGUGACGGAGACACGGCCCAGACUCCUACGGAGGCAGCAGUGGGGAAUAUUGCACAAUGGGCGCAAGCCUGAUGCAGCCAUGCCGCGUGUGUGAAGAAGGCCUUCGGGUUGUAAAGUACUUUCAGUCGGGAGGCGUUACCUACAGAAGAAGCACCGGCUAACUCCGUGCCAGCAGCCGCGGUAAUAC
rnacentral:rRNA from 1 species